GAUGAAGAACGUAGCGAAAUGCGAUAAGUAAUGUGAAUUGCAGAAUUCAGUGAAUCAUCGAAUCUUUGAACGCACCUCGCGCCCUUUGGCCAUUCCGAAGGGCAUGCCUGUUUGAGUAUCAUGAACACCUCAACUCUUCAUGGUUUUCCGUGAUGAGCUUGGACUUUGGGGGUCUUGCUGGCCUAUGGUCAGCUCCUCUAAAAUAAAUCAGCUUGCCAGUGUUUGGUGGGUAUCACAGGUGUGAUAACUAUCUACGCUUGUGGUUUUCCACCAGGUAACCUUCAGCAGUGGAGGUUCGCUGGAGCUCACAGAUGUGUCUCUCCUCAGUGAGGACAGCUCUUUGAAUGUUUGAUCUCAAAUCAGGUAGGACUACCCGCUGAACUUAAGCAUAUCAAUAAGCGGAGGA
rnacentral:misc_RNA from 1 species